GCUCCUCCAUUCUGAUACUCAUUAAGAUACACUUGCAAGAGCUUUAUUUUUAAUUAUGGUGUUUUGGAAAGACUAAAAAACAUUUAUGUGCUUGUCUUGAGGAAUUGUGAUUUGGAAGAGUUGCCUAACAAUAUUGGCAAGUUGAUAAAUCUCCGUUAUCUUGACUUAUCUGGAAAUUACCACAUUCGAAGGUUGCCCGAGUCAUUAUGCGACUUGUUUAAUCUGCAGACAUUGAUAUUAUAUGGUUGUGAUAACUUAGAAAGCCUCCCGUGUGACAUGAUGAAGUUGGUCAACUUGAGAAAACUUGAUGGAGCAGAUAAGUUUAUUCUAGAGAUAACAGAGGUCGGGAAGCUUACUUCUUUUCAGAAUUUAUCUGCUAGUUCUUUGAAACCUUCCCAGAGACCUGGUGAGUGAGGACUCUGGGCAACGCCGUAGUCUUGCAGGUAUUCAGAGAUGAAUUUUGGCCAAUGAUGUGCUUGAGCAGUUAAAUAUUGUCCUAAUAACUGGUUUAGGUGAGGAAUUGGUGUCUAUCCAAAGCAUUCAUUUCCACUUGGUCUUUUGUUUGUUUUGGAAUAUUUUUUUUUCUUCCGGCAGGUGUUUUACAAUGCCCUCUGCCCUAUGUGGUCUUUGGUUUGGCAGCUAAUCUGACCUGGAGCAAUUUGGGCAUGUUUUAGUUGACUACAUAUGCUAUGUAUUAUAUUGCUUUGUUCUGUUCAGGACUGCUGAUAAUUGAAAGUAUUGUUCAUCAGUAAAACAAAUUAAAAUUUAGCUAAUAAAUUAAAAUGGAAAGUAUAGUUCCAUUUGGGUACAAAGCGUUGUUCAUCUUUUUAAUCUCAUUGGGUGGAAAUGCAGAACUUUAAUUAAUGAUCUUCUAUCUUUUUUAA